GACGAACGCUGGCGGCGUGCUUAACACAUGCAAGUCGAACGGAAAGGCCCUGCUUUUGUGGGGUGCUCGAGUGGCGAACGGGUGAGUAACACGUGAGUAACCUGCCCUUGACUUUGGGAUAACUUCAGGAAACUGGGGCUAAUACCGGAUAGGAGCUCCUGCUGCAUGGUGGGGGUUGGAAAGUUUCGGCGGUGGGGGAUGGUAUCGCGGCUUAUCAGCUUGUUGGUGGGGUAGUGGCUUACCAAGGUUUUGACGGGUAGCCGGCCUAAGAGGGUGACCGGCGACAUUGGGACUGAGGUACGGCCCAGACUCCUACGGGAGGCAGCAGUGGGGAAUAUUGCACAAUGGGCGGAAGCCUGAUGCAGCAACGCCGCGUGCGGGAUGACGGCCUUCGGGUUGUAAACCGCUUUCGCCUGUGACGAAGCGUGAGUGACGGUAAUGGGUAAAGAAGCACCGGCUAACUACGUG
rnacentral:rRNA from 1 species